rnacentral:rRNA from 1 species
UGCGUAGGCGGAUUAAUAAGUCAGUGGUGAAAACCUGCAGCUUAACUGUAGAACUGCCAUUGAUACUGUUAGUCUUGAGUACGGUCAAGGUAGGCGGAAUGUGCAAUGUAGCGGUGAAAUGCUUAGAUAUUACACAGAACACCGAUUGCGAAGGCAGCUUACUGGACCAUUACUGACGCUGAGGCACGAAAGCGUGGGGAGCGAACAGGAUUAGAUACCCUGGUAGUCC